UACGUAGGGAGCAAGCGUUGUUCGGAUUUACUGGGCGUAAAGGGUGCGUAGGCGGUCGGGUAAGUCUGAUGUGAAAUCUCACAGCUUAACUGUGAAACUGCAUUGGAUACUAUUCGGCUUGAGAGUUGGAGGGGGGACUGGAAUUCUUGGUGUAGCAGUGAAAUGCGUAGAUAUCAAGAGGAACACCAGUGGCGAAGGCGAGUCCCUGGACAACUUCUGACGCUGAGGCACGAAAGCUAGGGGAGCAAACAGG
rnacentral:rRNA from 1 species